rnacentral:misc_RNA from 2 species
AACGCAUCUUGCGCUCUCUGGUAUUCCGGAGAGCAUGUCUGUUUGAGUGUCAUGAAUUCUUCAACCCAAUCUUUUCUUGUAAUCGAUUGGUGUUUGGAUUUUGAGCGCUGCUGGCUUCGGCCUAGCUCGUUCGUAAUACAUUAGCAUCCCUAAUACAAGUUUGGAUUGACUUGGCGUAAUAGACUAUUCGCUAAGGAUUCGGUGGAAACAUCGAGCCAACUUCAUUAAGGAAGCUCCUAAUUUAAAAGUCUACCUUUUGAUUAGAUCUCAAAUCAGGCAGGAUUACCCGCUGAACUUAA